rnacentral:rRNA from 1 species
UACGAAUGGGGCGAGCGUUGUUCGGAAUCACUGGGCGUAAAGCGUACGUAGGCGGAUUAGCAAGUCAGGAGUGAAAUCCCAGGGCUUAACCCUGGAAUUGCUUUUGAAACUGCUAGUCUAGAGGCCCGGAGAGGUCAGCGGAAUUCCGAGUGUAGAGGUGAAAUUCGCAGAUAUUCGGAGGAACACCAGUUGCGUAGGCGGCUGGCUGGACGGGCACUGACGCUGAGGUACGAAAGCGUGGGGAUCAAACAGG